AAGUCGUAACAAGGUCUCCGUAGGUGAACCUGCGGAGGGAUCAUUCACAUGAUUACCUUUAUCAACAAACUGUGAACUUUAUAAUUUACUAUUCGUGUGUGUUUUGUGUUGUUUGUUUACUUCGGUACACUCAAUCAAAACAUCACACUGUCAUUCGAUGAACAUUAGAUAGCUGGCUUGAUUUUCGAAUCUUUCUCAGCUGAUUGUAUGUUGUUGAUUAACAAUCCACACAUCAAUCACCCAAUUAACAUAGAAACAACUCUAUGCCCUGGAUAUCUUGGUUCUC
rnacentral:misc_RNA from 1 species